UUUCAGUGAUCAGCAGCAAAUGUCGCCUCCUCCUGGACCCUACUCUGGCACCAGCACUCUCGCCUUGGUGGCUCGUGCUUCAGCCUUCACGUUUGGAGUCGUCUAUGGAAAUUUGAAGCUUAAGUAUCUUAAGGCCAGAAUAUUGCAAAACCCAUUCUGGCUACGUAUCCUUCUCAAAUGUCUCAAAUGGCCCUGCUUCUGAUCAUUCCGUUGUGAAGAUAUCAAGUAGGAGUCAUGUGUUUGUGCAUGACUAUCAGAGGCCUACUUACAAAUCCUGGGGUGACGUGACUCAAUACUAUAAGAGAAGAAAGGAAGCUUAUCGUGCUGAACGGACUUCUAGUUUGCCUAGUUUGACAGAUGGAAGUGAUCACAAAUUUAGACAACAAAGCACUGAUAAUGACUUAUCUUGUCCAUCUACUAGUAAUUCAC